UGGGGAAUCUUGGACAAUGGGGGCAACCCUGAUCCAGCCAUGCCGCGUGAGUGAUGAAGGCCUUAGGGUCGUAAAGCUCUUUCGCCUGUGAAGAUAAUGACGGUAGCAGGUAAAGAAACCCCGGCUAACUCCGUGCCAGCAGCCGCGGUAAUACGGAGGGGGUUAGCGUUGUUCGGAAUUACUGGGCGUAAAGCGCACGUAGGCGGACCAGAAAGUUGGGGGUGAAAUCCCGGGGGCUCAACCCCGGAACUAGCCUCCAAAACUAUUGGUCUAGAGUUCGAGAGAGGUGAGUGGAAUUCCAAGUGUAGAGGUGAAAUUCGUAGAUAUUUGGAGGAACACCAGUGGCGAAGGCGGCUCACUGGCUCGAUACUGACGCUGAGGUGCGAAAGUGUGGGGAGCAAACAGGAUUAGAUACCCUGGUAGUCCACACCGUAAAACGAUGAAUGCCAGUCGUCGGGUAGCAUGCUAUUCGGUGACACACCUAACGGAUUAAGCAUU
rnacentral:rRNA from 1 species